GCCUGCCAAUCUGGAUGUAGACCUCUCAGGUCCUUCUCUACCACCACGUCCACCUGCAUGCCACCAUGCUUCCCCUACGACAAUAAUGGACUAAGCCUCUGAAACUGGAUAGACUGCAAGGAUGACAUGAAGGAAUGAGGAGAUGAGUGGGAUUGGGGUGCACGAUGUGAAAUUCACAAAGAAUCAAAUAAAAAGUUUUUUUUAAGUCUA